UGUGCAAAUUGAGAUUUAAAUCUCUUGGAAGUUGUUGCACUUUUUCUACCAUUAUUUCAUGUGGAGCACACUUUGAGCUAUUCUCCCUACAACUUGCAUCCUUUGCAUCUGUUUCAAAAACAACCAUACUCAUAAUAAAACUUAUGUGAAGUAAGAGUAAGAUCUUCAUGGUUCACCUGCAAUUUCAUCAAAAAAAAAAAAAUCAGCAACAACAAAAAAAUCAAAAAUGUAUUUACUGAAUAUAGGUUGGUGAACG
rnacentral:lncRNA from 1 species